AGAUAUUUCAUAACUACAGAGAUGGUAAUAAGUAGGAUGAUUGUUUUUUAGUGAGAGUAUUCGGUGUAUUUGAAGAUGGUAAUAAGUAGGAUGAUUGUCUUUUAUUGCAAGUAUUCCAUGUAUUUGAGUUUGGUGUCAUGUAAAUAUUUCUGGUUGCGUUGAAGUUAUUGGGAUAAAUGAUGGUUGUGGAUAUAUUUUCAAGUUAUUGAGGUUAUUG
rnacentral:lncRNA from 1 species